ensembl:snoRNA U8 U8 small nucleolar RNA
UGCACAAGUAGGAUAAUCCUUACCUGUUCUUGGUGUUGGUUUUUUUUUUUUUUUUUUUUUGGAGGGCAGAUUGGAACACGAUUAUUAGAGUUCCCAUGAUAUUAACGUCUUUUCAUAAUCAAGACUUGCAACACCCUGCUUGUUCUGAUCUGAU